AUCGCUUCUCGGCCUUUUGGCUAAGAUCAAGUGUUCUCAUCAGUUUAAUAUCUGAUACGUCCUCUAUAUGAGGACUACAUAUUAAAGUGGUUUUCCGAACAGGGAGACGGAAGAUGGGGUUGCUCCGUGGGCUCCACGAAUCGACCUGGUAUUGCAGUACCUCUGGGAGCAGUGCACCUCCU
ensembl:snRNA U2 U2 spliceosomal RNA